AAACCAUGACGUGGACAGUUCCUUAACAAAUCCUUGAACCGUUCCUAACAAUCAUACAAAUUUUUAUUCUCCUAUUGAAGAAACCCUGCUAUAUCAUUCUUCAACUU
rfam:Ricinus communis cultivar Hale ctg_1100012345783, whole genome shotgun sequence.